UACGUAGGGUGCAAGCGUUAAUCGGAAUUACUGGGCGUAAAGCGUGCGCAGGCGGUGAUGUAAGACAGAUGUGAAAUCCCCGGGCUCAACCUGGGAACUGCAUUUGUGACUGCAUCGCUGGAGUGCGGCAGAGGGGGAUGGAAUUCCGCGUGUAGCAGUGAAAUGCGUAGAUAUGCGGAGGAACACCGAUGGCGAAGGCAAUCCCCUGGGCCUGCACUGACGCUCAUGCACAAAGCGUGGGGGAGCAAACAGG
rnacentral:rRNA from 1 species